GGGUUGUGAUGCAAAUUGCACUGUCCGGUUGCUUAUUGCUGAAUUGUUAUGUGCUGAAAGCAUCUAUGCACGAAACUUGCCCCGUGAUGUGUUCUCCCUGUGACUUUUGGUCUCCUGAAGGAACGUUGUAGACGACGUCGUUGUUAGGCCGGGUGUGUAAGCGCAGCGAUGCGUUGAGCUAACCGGUACUAAUGAACCGUGAGGCUUAACCUUACAACGCCGAAG
rnacentral:rRNA from 1 species